AAUUUACAUGUGACUGGACAUGAUCCUGAAUUGUCUUUUGGUUGUCUUUUAUUUCCAAGAGGCCUCUACAUGGUGGAGGCUUGAUUUCUCAUUUUGGAUUUGAGACUGACUACAUAAAUUUUAUAUGAGGUAAAUGGUUCCAGCUUGGCGUGUUUAGACAAUGCAGCUACAUCUCAAAAGCCAUAUGCUGUUUUGGAAGUUCUUCGUGAUUAUGUGAGGGCUACAGCUCAAAUGGUCACCACAAUAUUCAUUACUUAAGGUAUCCCAACAUAACGCCCCAUACCUACCCUUACUCUCUCUAUCUCUCUCUCUCUCCCUCCCUUGUCUUGAUUGCUUGCUCACUCACAUGCAUGUUCACAGUUGGACACCCACAAUGAUGCACUCUUCCUGUUUGCAAAGGAAGCAAGAAAAAGAAAAUUCCUUGUUCUAAAAUUCUAUGUUUCUGUAUAUCAAGGAAGGAAAAAAAUAAGGGUAGUUCAUUGGGUGCAUGGUAAAUCAUUUGAUUUAAUCUUUUUUCAAUAGUUUUAUUAUUUGGCGUAUUAAAAAAUAAGGGUAGUUCAUUGGGUGCAUGGUAAAUCAUUUGAUUUAAUCUUUUUUCAAUAGUUUUAUUAUUUGGCGUAUUGUGCGGUAAGUAUUUGAAAAGGCUCUCAUUUUUCAUUGUUUCUAGCAGCAGCAGUCCGACCCAUAUAAGUGCUUAAUGUCCUAUACACUCAUCAAUGUUAAUAAUUUUCUAUAAUUAAUAUGUUACAAGUGAAAUCAUUGGCUAAUACUAUUGAGCCUAUCUUGUCUAUGUCAAGUGUAGUGGGCUAUGUCAAGAAUAUAAUCAGGGUCUCUAUCAGAUCUCAACAACCUGGAAUAGCGGCCACAUCCCUAACUAUGCCUUUUAUAAUCAGGCUGCAUGAACAUAAACCAUGAGAAGAGAAUUCGUUUUGUUGAUACUCUAGCCAUCUAGAAUCUGCAAUACAACAUCAGAUUGGGCAGACCUACAUGCAAGGGAAGCGCGUGCUUUAUUGGGAUGGCUGAGUACCAGAGUCAAGUUUUCUGAAAGCAGACAGAACUUGAUCAAGAACUUUGAACAUUCUCUUUCCUUGGUGGAUUGGAACUAUUAUCCAAUUACACAGUUUAUACAGCAGUAACAGCACUAUAACACCAAGGGAAUAAUGUUGGGACUGUCAUUGACAGAGGCUGCCAAGGUGUGCAAUGCUAUCCUGGACAGUAAUUUGUGUGCUUGAUUUCUUGUUAAAUCUCACAGAACCAAGAAGAUUCCUCAACUUUGACAGGCCGUUGUUAUUAUGUCACAGACGUCACAGAAUAUGAAAAAACAGACUGUGAUACUGAAACUUGUGAUUCUCAAUGACAUGCGUGAUCUCCAUAUGCUGAUGAAGCACAAGUUGUGAUUCUUUAGCCCUUUGAAAGGCAAAAGAAUGAUGGUUUUACAGCUUUUUGGGCAAGAGGAUGAUAGUGGUUACAUGGUGGUUCUGUUGGUUUCGCUUUUCUUUUCCAUUAUUGUUUUUAAUGUUGUAGAAUCAUCCUAUUAAGUGUUUGGUGUGUGGUCACACCAUGAUGAAGACUAUUCUAGGAGGCGAAUUAUUAAAAAAUUACUUGCAAGCAGCGGGAAACUUGUAAAAGCACGUAGGCAGUAGUCAGGACAACAAAUGCCUGUGGGGACAAAUUACUGCCAAAAAGAAAUUAAAAUGUGUUCAUUUUGUUUUAAGAAGGAUUUCAAGUUCUUUUACCUUCAUACCUGUGUCACGUAUAUGGGUUCUCGGCAACAGACUUGUGUCCAGGAGCAAGAAUUUAGGAAAAAGCUGCCAUGAUUUUGCCACGGGAAGGGCUGCCCUGUUGUGAAAGAAGCCAUCUUUCACCAAGAAGGAAAAACUCCAGUCGAAGCGAGUUUGUCAAUAAGCUUUGAACCCUGUUAUCUCAUGCUUCUCAAACGAGCUUUGUGUAAGUAGUCUUUCAUGGUCUCAAAAGGUUCUAAAAAGGAAUGUUAUAUCUUGUAUGUAGGGGAGCAAUUUCGGUCGAUAUGGGAAUUAUUUGUCUCGUCUGAGUCUUCCCUGUUCUUGCUUUGCAAAUACCACUUAAAAUGAGCUGGAAUUUAUCAAAGUAAUAUGCCUUCUGAGUUCUGCUAGAAUCAUGGGCAUGCAAUUUAGCAGAGCUUUUGAGUUACAAAGGGACCACAGGAUCAAGAAUCAUGAUCAAAUGUGGAGCAUUGGAGGCAUGAUCUCAGAUGCUCUCCAACGCCAUCCUCAAUUCUGGAUUUUGUUCAAUAACUCAACGACGAGAACUACUGAGAACCAUAUAGUAGUAGCAGCAGCAGCAGUUGAUGUUGACGAUGAUGAUUAUUUUAUUAUUAUUGUCUGCAGUUUAUUCAAUCGUUCUUGCAGCCUAAUUGACUGGCUCUUGUACGCUAUAGACUAUGAAUUUCAGUUUCGCUUCAUUAGCUGAACUAUAGUUCCCCAUUUGCCAGUAAAUUACUCUUUACCUAUCUUUUCUGAUGGUUCUUGAAAUACAUACUUGCACAGGCUUAAAUUUAAACAGGCACAGGUUGCAAAACAGACAUCUUCUUUGACGUAGGAGAGAA